CAGAGCGAGAAGUUGGCGGCGGCGGCGGCGGCGGGAGCGCAGCGGCUAACCUGCUCCUCGGACAUCACUGUGCGGCCGCCUCGCCUCCCCGGACCCCCGCCUCGAAGCCUCGACGCCCUCCUGCCCUCUCGGCCAGCCAGGUGAGGGGCUCCGGCGUGCCAAGGAGUCGGCUCCCCCAUCGUUCGCCACUGUCCUGCUCCAGCGGUUGCCCGUGCUCGGCUCUGCCGACCCGCGAUGCGCUGCCGGGAGUGCCCCAGGAUCGGCCGCACUCGCACACAGGAGCGCGAAAAGAUGGAGCAGUCCUGCAGCGGGCUCGGUGUGUCCGGCGGGAGCGGAGAUGGAGGGAACGGGCCGCCUCGGCAUGUGGGUGCGAGUAGUUGGUGGUAAAGUUGUUCAGGAGGGAUGGCGUGCACGCCUCUGUUCUCUUACACUUUCCAAAGUAAAUAAGUGCUAGCGGACUCCGUACCAAGUUAGAGACGCAUCAUCCCGGCCGGUGACGUCUUGAGACCCGGUCAGUGACUAACUGAACUGCUAUUGCCAAGGGUGUGUUAAUAGAAGAAACUCUGCCUAGUAUUGCCCUGGAUGAGUCACAUUUAAAGAGAGACUCUCUAGUCUGUUAAAGGAAAAGCAGAAAUGAACCUCACUUUCCUUUUUUGUUGCUGGUCUUUUUUCCAUCCCACCCCUCACCUUUGCUCGCUGUUUUCUUCAUCUUGUGCCAGGGCUGUAUUGGCGCCCUGGGCCUGGCUGAGCAUUUGCAGAGCUGCCUUGCCCAAUGUGCUGUGAUGUCACGCAGGGGACUCUGACUUCAUGGCCCCGAGGAACAGGAAGGCAAGCCAGGCAGGGACUUUUCCAGCCACCCACGGUGGCUGUCACUGAAAACGGAGGAAGUGACGAAGCAGAUGGCUUCUCCUACAAAGUUAUCUCUUGUGAUUUUUUGGCUGGUGAAGAAGCUGGGUAGUUGAAAAGUGUGUUUUCUGAAGAGCAGCACAGCUUCAUUGUCAGCUGAAGUUCCCAAUAACCAGCUAGGAUUCACUGCAGCUGCUGAGGUUCCCUGGAAGGGCUCAGGUAUUCCCCCUACUCCUGGGGCUGCUCUCAUGUAGCCCUGGGCUGUUGCAAAGGCUUGGUCUGAAGGAAUUGGCAGUGCUCUGGUCAAUAAGUAGUUAAUUGCACAGAAGGCAGAGCAAGGUCCUCUGUUGGUAAAGUGUCUCUCUGAGAAGUUUUGCUUGUCCCUAUCUCUCCUUCAUGCUCUUAUCAUUUCUGCCUCUGGGUUGGGUCCCAGAGGAACAUCUGCUCUUCACAGGAAAACUCAGCUCCCUCUGUGCUCUGUGUUUCCGUAGUGCUCAAACAGCCUGGGAAGAUGGGAAAACCAGCCAAAGUUACCCAAGAUGCUUUCAUGUUUGUUCAGAAGCCAAAUGGGCCUUUUUAAUUUUUUUUAAUGGGGACAUUGUUGGGGGGCAGACAAGUUUGCAGCUGUCUCAGCCUCGGAUUGCUUUUUUUCUUCUCUCGCUGCACCUACAGCAUCUUCCCACUGCUGGUCCCGAGCAGGGAGGAGCACAGUGUAGCCACACAGAGAAAGGGAGGGAGGGAAACCUGGUGCAAAAUGCAUCCGUGUACAAGUAUGUCUGAGAGCUGAAACUGAAGGCCACAGUCCCCCUGCCAUCCCAUUUUAUAGGUGACCAUGCAGGUAACAAACCUGUGUCUGAAAAUAAAGGUGCUUUGUUUCUCUUUGAAUAAACAGCCCUGCGCUAGGGACUGUGCUGGCUGAUGAGUUAACCCCGGGAGAUGCCGCUGGCAGGAGCAGCUCUGCAGGUCGCCUGGCAAGGCCUGUCCCAUUCCCAUGAGCAGCACCACGGUAUGAAUGCUUCCGACUUCCUCCUACCAAUGGAACCAUCCUGUUCAGCUCCAGUAAGCUAAAGGAAGGGGUUGAAGUGAAGUUUGUUUGGUUUUGCCUUUUUUGUGUGUGUCUCCAGUAAGUGAGGGGAGCAUCCAACUCAAUUCCUGUUUUUAACAUUCUUCUGGCAUGAUUCAAAACUAACCUGCUGUGCUGUCACCUGAAGUCGUCAAUAAAUGUGCAAAACCAG